rnacentral:rRNA from 1 species
AACAUCACAUAUCCGAAUUCGCUGGGCUGUCCAACAGGACAUUCUGGCUACAGAAUUUCUUGACGACCAUAGAGCAUUGGAACCACCUGAUCCCAUCCCGAACUCAGUAGUGAAACGAUGCAUCGCCGAUGGUAGUGUGGGGUUUCCCCAUGUGAGAGUAGGUCAUCGUCAAGA